UUCAACGGAGAGUUUGAUCCUGGCUCAGGACGAACGCUGGCGGCGUGCUUAACACAUGCAAGUCGAGCGGUAAGGCCUUUCGGGGUACACGAGCGGCGAACGGGUGAGUA
rnacentral:rRNA from 1 species